CUGAUAUCAAGAUUCUUCCAAGUAAGAGUACUCAUAGCAAGAGAACACAAAAAUUGAAAGGUGGAAAGUCAUUUGGUGAAAAACCAAAGGAUUUCCCCAGCGAAGAAAAGUUAGCCCAAAAAAGAAAAGAGAAAAAUGAGGCAAAAACAGAGUAUUGGGAUUUUAUUCAAGGGUGGUUGCCCCUCUCUGUUUAGCCAAUGAUUUUCCUUUUCCACUUAAAAAAAAAAUAAAUCAACAGCCCUUGAAUUCAUGGAAAUAUGUAGUAUACUAUACAGUCUAUACUUCAGCAUCAACAACAACAACCAGAUCUCUGCUUUCUGUCUCCUUUUCUGUGAUUUUAAUUAAUUCCUCCUUUUUGAUACAUAAAACAGUAGAGGCAAUGAUGAUGAUAUUUUCUUAUGAUUCUGGGCUAACUGGGGCGGGCAUAGAGACUAUCCGACCCGUAUCUUGGCCUGGCGAAUCACCGGACGGCGGCGAUCCGAAGGUUUUUACUUUGCAUGCAACCUGUGAUUUUGCAGCCAUGGCGCGGUUGCCUCUCUUUUGCCCGAUCUCUCUUUGCAGAUCUGAGCCUCUUAAGUACUGUGAAAUAGAUCUAAAACUUCUUCUUCUUUGAAUUCCAACUACUUUUUGCCUCCAUCAAACCAAAAGAAUGAAGAUUUUGAGAAAGAUUUGAGUUUCUGUGGUAUGGUUAAUUACUUUAAAAUCAAAAGCAUUUUCUCCACUAUGACUCUAUGUAAGAAAAAUUAUUUUCUAAAUAAUUUCAUUAUGUCAAACAUGUGUUUCUUAGGACAUGCAAAACCAAAAUAUUCCCAUUCAUGAUUGAACACAGCAGAGAAAACCAAAAGCUCAGAGACAAAGAAUGAGGGUUGGAGAGAGUAGAGGGAAGCUCAAGGGUAGCUGCUCCUCUCUACAAUUCCUGUGAUUUCAUUCCUGCAGUAAACUAUAUCCGAACGACCACUCCCAGAAAGAGAAUCAAUAGUAAUAAUAAUUAUAAUUGUAGCAAAAACCUGAGGCUGUGAUUGUGAUUUUUUCUUCUGUCUCUGAGCAACUUGAUUAGGGCAGGAGAAUAAUCGGAACCGUAACUUGGCGGGGCAACUCGGACGGUGAUGACUUGCAACCGGCGUUUACAGCCAUGGCGGUGUCUCCAAUCUCUUCCCUUAUUAUCAUUAUUACAGAUGUGAGCCUCAAUUGGAAGGUUAUUUUCUUAAGUUCAAACUUACAGGCUCUUUUCCGUUAAAUUUUGAAAUUCGCAGGUGAAAAGCCCACGAGAAUUUCCCCUAAAAAAUGCAAAAAGGUUAGCCUAGAAAGAAAUGAGUCAAAACAGAGAGUAUUGGGACUUUCAUUAGAAGGGUGGUUGCCCCUCUCUGUUCCGCCAUUGAUUUUCCUCCAUUUUCAGAACAAACCAACAGCCCUUGUUUAUGACAAAAGCAGAAGCAGACAGGAUUUAAGUGCGCGUUUGGACAUAAGAAUUUGAAAUUCCUGAAAAAAGUAAAAUCCUUUUCAGUGUAAUCUGUAUUUACUUUUUGUGUUUGUGUGUGUGUUUAUGUUGCUAAUGGAAGUUACAUAAAGAGGCAGUGAUGAUGAUGUUUCUUGUAUCUGGGCUAACCGAUUUGGGCAUAGAGAUGAGCCACCCGUAUCUUGGUGUGGCAACCCGGUAUGGCCUGUGAUUGAGGUUUCUGUCUUUCACUUGCAACUGGUGUUUUGCAGCCAUGGCGUAGCUGGCUUCUCUUUGCCUUAUCAUAACACAUCUGAGCCCCAUUUGCUGAAAAGAAAAAAAAAAGAUAAUCUUUUCUAUUAUUUGGAUUAACAGGAAAAUAGGAAGGGAAGCUUUGGAGCAAUGGUAAAGUUAUUUUCAUGUGACUAGCGGUGGCAAAAUGGUUAAAAGAAAACAAUUAUCCAUCAUAUUAUCCAUUAAAAAAUGAGUUGGAUAAUGAACUUUUUAAAAAUAGGUCAAAUAUGGAUAAGAACCAUAUUAUCCACUUAGAAAAUGGAUAACCAAUGGAUAACUAAUGGGCUUAACUUUUACAUUUGUAAAGCCUCAAAUCGUGGGUUUCUCAAGUUCGGGAGACUUGGAAUUCUCCCAAAAAUGAUCAUAUUCAAGAAGCCAUGGAUAAUAUGAAUAUCCAUAUUAUCCGCCGAUUAACCCGUUUUUAUCCAUAUUAGAUUAGAUAUGGGUCGGGUCGGAUAAUUUAUCCGUAUUUUGCAUUAUCCAUUUUUCGACCCAUCCAUAUACGACCUGACCCACCCGUUUGCCACCCCUACGUGUGACCUAGCCACCCCUACGUGUGACCUAUAGGUCACGGUUUUGAGCUAUGAAAGUAGCUACUAAUGCUUAAUUAGGGUAUGCUGUUUACAUCACACCCCUUGAGUGUGACCCUUUGCCGGAUCCCGCGUGAACGCGGGAUGCCUUGUGCAUCGGGUUGCCCUUGCAUUAACAAGAAAAUAGCAAAAAACGCAUUAGUUUAAUCUGAGGUUGCGGUGAAGGCAAAGAGGUGUAGGGAAUUUCAUUGGGUGGUUUUGCUGCCUCUCUGUCAAUUCUCCGCCGCCAAUGAUCACUCAAAUGUCCGACUGCAAAACCACCCGAUGGGUGAACCGUGAAAAUACGUAUUACUCCCCCUGUUUCAAUUUAUGCGACGCGAUGAGGCUAGUAAGAUUUUAUUCUUCUAUGGAAGAUCAACCAGACAUAUAAAUCUAUUGAGCUGGGAAAAAUUGUAAUCUUGGCGUGGCAGCUCAGAUAGGUCUGUGAGAUAAUGGAGAAAAAUCCAAAUGUUUUGUGUGUUUUUCUCCUGUUUCAUAAGAUUAACUGAUGUUUGCAGCCAUGGUGGUCUUUUUCCAAAGCUUUUUGUUGUCUGAGCAAAGGCAAAUCUGAGCCUACCCCAUUGUCUGGAUUAAACGUGCUGGGAUGAUAAAUACUACUACCCCAUUGUCUGGAUUAAACGUGCUGGGAUGAUAAAUACUACUUCUAGGGUGGCUUAAAGAAAUGAGGCAAAACAGAUGGGAUUUUCUUUAAAGGGUGGUUGCCCCUCUCUGUUUUGCUGUUGAUUUUCCUCUAUUCAGAAAAUACCAACAGCUCUUGUCAUGGAAAAAGAAGAAACAAGAACUGGAAAUAUAAUUAAACAAUACUGCUCUUCCCAAACUAGCCUGAGCCAGGGGUCUCUUGGAAAUAGCGUCUCUACCUGCACAAGGUUUUUGUUGUUGUUGUUGCUCUCCUCACGCUACUACAUAUCUGUGUUUCCUCUGGUGUGGUGUGUUGUUUUUUUGGUGUUGAUGGGAGGUACAAAGGGAGGCUGUGAUGAUGAUGUUUCUAUAUCUGGGCUAACGAAUUAGGCUCGGAGAUUAUCCAGCCCGUGUCUUGGCUUGGCAACCCAACAUGGCUUGUGACUGAGACUUCUUUCUCUCACAUGCAAUCGGUGUUUGCAGCCACGGCGUGGUUGGCUUCUCUUUAGCUCUAUCUUAACACGCAUCUGAGCCUUUUUCUUUAUUUGGUAUGAUAAUGACAUGGUUGAGCUUAAAUGGAGGAACAUGGUUAGUGACGAUUCAUAUAGCUGACCCCAACUUGUAUGGGACAGAGGCAUAGCUGUAGUUGUUGUUGUUGUACAUCCGAGCCCUUAAAACGUAGCCUGAAGUCGUCCUAUUUGUGAAAAUCUUGCUUUCCUUUCUGGGCUAUGUUCAAUCACGUUAUUGUGAAGUUACUCAAACCUGCAUCUUGGCAGGGUGACCCAGUAUGGCUUUAUGUAGCAAACUGGUGUCUGCAGCCAUAGCGUCAUCGCAUUCUCUUUUGUUUUGUUUGGAAAUCGCCUUCUCCGGCAAGCCCAUGAUUUCUCUUUUGGUUGCCAAUAGCCAUCUUCACAUUUUUCUCUCAAUUCACAUUGUGCGUGUGUUGUAUUUUUUCCUGUUGAUGAUGUUGUCCUCCAGUGUGUUUCUGUUUUCAACAAUUUCAAAAUUCAAAAAUCCUCAUAAUUUUCUGAGACCUGCAUUCCACACAUUUUGCAUCAAUUUUUUGCUCAAUCUUCCAAUUUCGAAUCAAAGAAUGAGCAAAAUAGGGAAAUGAGAUUUUUAUGUACGAUUUUUUCCUCCCCAUCUUUCAAUGAGGACCAAAUUUCAAAUCUCUCUUUCGACAUACAGCAGAUGAGUUUUGCAAUUUUUUUAAUUCUGUGAAUCCAAAUUAAAAAGGGAAUUGUUCAAAAACCAAAUUUGGGCUAUAAUUUUGUCUUUGCUCCCAUAUCAGAAAGCGAGUCUCAUCUCCAAUAUCAAUGUUCCUUGUGAUUUUAUAAGUUAACGUGUCUUCAUGUUUGCUUCCUACGAUAAUACCUCGAAUUUAUGAAGAUCCAUUUUGAAUCAUGCAGUAGCUGCUGUCCGUAACUUUAUAUGUUUACACCAUUGGUGCUCCUUAGUGCAUAACUGCUAUGUUGUUGUGCUUUUCUGCCUUGGUGUUGAGAUUCUUCCUUGUAUGCACUUGUGGCUAAUUUAAACAGUAUUUGCUAGAGUUCAUGUAAAAGGGAUGUGAUAAUACUUAUUGCACUUUCUUUUUAUUACUAAUCAGGAAUGACCUAAUCCGUAUUUGGCUUGGCAACACGGUCUGGAUUGUGAUUGAGAUCGCUCUUGCAUGCAACCAGUGUUUUGCAGCCAUGGCAUGAUGCAGUGAUGAUGAUGUUUUGUAUAUCUGUGCUAACUGAUUCGUGCAUGGAGAUGACCUGACCAGUAUCUCGGCAUGGCAACCCGGUAUGGCCUCUGAUUGAGCUCUAUUUGCAUGCAACUGGUGUUCUGCUGCCAUUGCGUGGUGGCCUUCCCUUUUGCCUUCUUCUAGUAUGGAUCUGAGCCUCAAUAUACUUCAGAAAAAGAACCUUUUUCUUGGUUCAAGGGGUGUGAUUGAGCCUUCGGCCUUCAGGUUACAUAUUAGAAGAAAAAGCAUUUUGCAUCCUUAAAUGCCUGUUGUUGAAGUUGUUCCUCUGCUAACUGUGUUUUCAACACAUCGAAACCGUGAUAACAACUGAUAAUGCUUCAAUCCCGAACUUGGUGGGAAAAUUUCUUUCAACUUCUGGAAUAAAACUCGGGUCUCUUGAGUGAGAGCCAGAUAUCCUAGCUGAUUGGACUACAACGGCAAAACGAGGACAUAAUACAGAACUGAAAAGGCUGUGGUGAUAAUUCCUGUACACAAGGAAUUGAGGAUUGAGUUGAAGAGGCUCGCCUUUUGGCGGGGCAACCCGAUUUUGAAGGUGCCUUAAGGCCCAGAUGCGGCUUGGGUUGCAGCCAUGGCAGUCUGCUCAUUGCCCUAUCAUUAUACACAUCUGAGCCGCCUUCUUAUUUUAGAUGAUGUUAACCUUCUUGGCUCUAGGAUACAGUGGUAAAUGGAGCAUUUGAAGCAUUGUAUGAAACAGAUCCUGUUUACGUUAAGCUGCAAAUGCGUUUGUACACUUGAAAACAAAUGCGUUUGUACACUUGAAAAAGUAUGGUUCAUAGUAUGGCUCAUCUGAGAAGGACUAAACUGGCUUGGAGUUGACCAACACGUUAUUGAAAUUGGAAGUUCUCUGCGGUGCCACAGAAGUGAUGAACGUAUCAUUUAAACAACUUUGAAUUUCUUUCUUAUUGUCCGGGCAAUGUUAUUCCCCUUAAUUGUGAUAGAUAUUCUAUAUAGAUAUGACUUAUGAGGCUGCAGAGGGAUGAGAAGCUUCUAAGGGCUCUUCGUGAAGGUUUCACUCCUCAUAAACCCAUCCCGCAAUUCUCUAAAUUGAAGCCAUCCUUCUUCUACUGACUUGUGAUAUCUUGACGAGCAUUUUCCUUGAUUUCUAGUAAAGUUUGGCAUUUGCGGUUACUGGUAUUGAAAGUUGCUUUAAGCAGUGUUCAGGCAUUUACAACAACCAAUUUUAUCAGGGAAAAAGCAAAUGGAGGUUACAGUACCGGAUUUUUCUUGUGCUCUUAUAUUUGGGAUUUGUUGCAAGUCUUCUACUAGAUUAAAUUCUCGUGCUCCAGGUGGUUCAAACUUAAGUUUCUGAUUAUUCAACGAGAUGCUAUUUGUGGUGUCUUUCCAUGGGUUUCAAGUAAGCUUCAACACAGCUUGGAGAAGAAAUGAGAUUUUGACAAGAUUGCUUGCCUCUUUCUGCUAUGUUUAUUUCCUUUUCUGAGCAGAAGAACCAACAAGCCCUCUUUUAGCUGUAAGCUGUGAUAAUUUCUAAUCUUCAAUCCACUAAAACCCCAGGGAAGGCUGUGAUCAUCUUUCUUUUCUUGUUUUCAGUUUCUCCAUGCUAACUUGUUUAGGACUAAGUUGUAGUUGUAUAUUCUGAGAAAGUUCUUAGUGAGAAGAGCGAAGCUAAAUCUUAUUUGUUUACUGGCGAUUGCACCCAGUGAUAUGUGUUGAAAUUGUUUAGUGUGUCUAAGUUAUUUUUUUUUUCUCGUUCCAUAAUUUUAAGUGAUUGGGUUUCGUUUGGCUUACGGCUA